UAAUACAUGCAAGUCGAGCGAGCUUGCCUAGAUGAAUUUGGUGCUUGCACCAGAUGAAACUAGAUACAAGCGAGCGGCGGACGGGUGAGUAACACGUGGGUAACCUGCCCAAGAGACUGGGAUAACACCUGGAAACAGAUGCUAAUACCGGAUAACAACACUAGACGCAUGUCUAGAGUUUAAAAGAUGGUUCUGCUAUCACUCUUGGAUGGACCUGCGGUGCAUUAGCUAGUUGGUAAGGUAACGGCUUACCAAGGCAAUGAUGCAUAGCCGAGUUGAGAGACUGAUCGGCCACAUUGGGACUGAGACACGGCCCAAACUCCUACGGGAGGCAGCAGUAGGGAAUCUUCCACAAUGGACGCAAGUCUGAUGGAGCAACGCCGCGUGAGUGAAGAAGGGUUUCGGCUCGUAAAGCUCUGUUGGUAGUGAAGAAAGAUAGAGGUAGUAACUGGCCUUUAUUU
rnacentral:rRNA from 1 species